ACGGUUUAGGGUCUGCAAAAGAAUUACAAAUUUCCUCAAACAUUAAGACUAGAGUUCAUAUCAGAAGAAAUUUUGAGUUACUACAUCCGUUUCAAAAUGAUUUUUACAAUAAUGUUUUUUGUACUUUGCUUUAUACUAUUUUGGACAUGAAAAUUUGCUAUUUUACCCCUAACAUUUACAACUUUACAAUCACUUUGUUUUACUUCAUUCCAUUUUCUCUUACACCACACACUUCUUUACCCAUCUACCAUAUUUUUCUACCAUACUUUAUCAUAUCCACCUACAUUUUUACACACUUUUCUUACUAUGUCUUAAUAUUUGUGUAAAUAGUAACCGUAAAGAUCAUUUUAAAACAGAUGUAGUAAUUUACUAAAAGGCAUGAUAUAUGUUGUACCUCUGGAUAAUUGUCACCGUCAACUUUCUGAAGGCGGCCAAUCAACUCCCUUGCAGCUUUGUUGAAUUGUUUCAGUCCCUAUGAUAAUGAUUCAAAGCUGAACUAAAUCACACAAGUUCUUCAUGAUUUUAAGAAUAUAACUAAACCCAGGGAUGUUUAUCGGUCUAAAUUUGGAUCCGAUUGAAGAUCGAAAAUUUUGAUAAUUAAAGAUCCGAGAUCGAACUGGUUAUGCUUGGACCGGAUCCUAAUCAGACAAGGGAAUCGAUCCAAAAUCCGGACCAGAUCAGUUUGGACCGGUUGUAGACCUAUAUAUAUAUUUUUUAUUUUAUUUUUUCUACAACUAAUCGGUUGAGGCUUGUUUUUGGAAACUAAAAUAAAAUCUCGCAAUACAAUAAAAAUUAACUUUUUAAAUAGUUUAUAUUAUACUUUUUUAAGGAAAAUCGGUCCGAUCCAAAAACCUGGUUUAAAAGACUUUUGGACCAGACCGGACCGAAGACCCGAAAUUUAUAUUUCUCGACCCGGUGACCGGACCGAUUGUCUCCGUUCCGGUCCAUUUCUCCGGUCCGAACCGGUUUUUGCACACCCCUUGUCUGAACUAAGGUGACAGUCUGAAAUUUAAACCUAAGUGCAAAAUAAAAUAAAAUCAACUACAUACCACUCCAGAAACAUCUAAUAUGGUUGUACUUUGAUCAAUAUGCUUCUUAGCAGUAAUUGAACAUGCUGGAAACUUAACAGCAAAAGUCCUCUCAAACUCCAUAACAUGAUAUUUGAUAUAUCUGUCUAUGGUUGUGGCUUGCAUCAGUUUUGUAGCAUCUACUUUGCCAAGAAGCUCUAUGUAAACAGGUCGACCAUCCUUAUCUAUUCCAUGAUGUCCUUGAGGAUAAUGCUCCAAAACUUCAUUGAUUUCUUUGAAAUCAAAUUCCUUUAAAAGCCAACAAUAAACAAAUUAAGGACUAAUUAUGUUUUAACAAAUGGUUUCGUAAUGGUGUCAGAAACGAAAUACUUCUUCCGUUUCAAAAAAAUUGCAACACUUUUAAUUUUGCCACUAUUAUAUAUUGAUUUUGACCAUAUAUUUUUACUAGUUUGUUAAAAGAAAAUAUUUUCAAGUAAAAUGUCGUUAACUUGAUUUAAUUAUAUACUACCUUCAUUUUAUUAUUUGCACAAAUACUCCCUCCGUAUUUAUUUAAGAGAUACACUUGGCCGUGCACGCGUAUUAAGAAAAAGAAUUGAAUGAAAUAAAGUAAUAAAACAAGUGGGGUUAAAUAGAUAUUUUAAUAAGAAAAACUAGUGGGGACCAUGUCAUCUUAGGGAGUGGGGGGUGGGGAUGGGGUGUAGAUAUAUUAUUUAAUUAGAUGGUGGGGUUGAUAAGUUACUAAAAAUGGCAAGUGUAUCUCUUAAAUAAAUACGGCCGGAAAAGGCAAGUGUAUCUCUUAAAUAAAUACAGAGGGAGUAUUAGACAAAAGUAGAAAAGUUGGUUGAAUAUAAUAAAAUAUGGAUAAAGUAAAAGAAAAUGUGUAGAAAGGCGGGUGGGUGGGUAUAAAAAAAAAUUAAGUAUGAGAAAGUGAGUGAAGAAUUGUAAAUAUUGUGAGGUAAGAAGGGUAAGGUAGUAAAUUUUCAUGUCAUAGAAUAAAACAAAGUGUAAAAAAAACAUUAUAAAACGGGAUUAAAACGGAAAGUGUAAAGAUCAUUUUGAAACAGAGGGAGUACUUUCAUAACAUUAAUUUUAAGAAUUUUUAGAAAGAGAUAAUUAUGGUCAAAGUUAUAUCUGGGUAAACGUGAUAGUUAAAGUGUAGCAUUUUUUUUUUGAAACAGAGGAAGUAUGUUACAUUUUUCACCAGUCAAUAAAAUUAUAUGUAUGCACACCUCCAUGAUAGUGUCAGCACCAAAUUCCAUCCUCCAGUGCAGCAUAUCCCCCCACAUUUGUUUUGCUUUCUCAAGAUCGAAUUUUCGUGCCCUUAAAAAUCUGUGUAACAAUUUAACAUCAUGCUCAUAAUUAAGGUGGUUCAACUGAGUUUAAAGUUGUUAAUUAUAUCCAAAUUCAUAUUAGGAUUUGUACUUAACUACUUAUACUAGCACCAAGGGUUAAACAUGCGCUGCUAGGCAGAAAGAAGCACAUACAAACGCAAUAGUACAUCCUGCUUUAAAAUGAUAUUUAGCUCAAAAAAACGGUAUUAUAAGGUUCUUAACAUACUACAUUAUGAAGUGAAAGGAAAUUAUUUACAGUACUCAAGCAGCUAAUCAAGGUACCGUACUAAACCAUCACCUAUCACAUGUUAGACAGCCAACUAUAUAUGCAGGUGUACGCUUGAGCCAGAGUGGUUAUGAAAUGAUACUUUGUAAUUAAGGUAUUAAGGUAUUCUAAUGACUUUAAAGUUGUUAUUUACAUCCAAGUUCAUAUCAGGAUUUGUACUUAGCUACUUAUACUAGCACCACUGCACCAAGGGUAAACAUGCCCCGCUACGCAGAAAGAAGCACAUAUUGCAAUAGUACUUUGUAAUAUAAGAAGAAGGUCCCUAAUAAACCAGCACCUAUAACAGGAUUUGUACUUGGCUACUCACCAUUGCACCAAGGGUAAACAUGCCAUGCUACGCAGAAAGAAGCACAAAUUGCAAUAGUACUUCAAAAUAUAAGAGGAAGAUCCCUACUAAACCUGCAUCUAUCACAGGUUAACCAGCUCAACUAUACAGCCAUACAGGUCUACGCUUGAGUCAAGGUGGUUAUGAAAUGAUACUUUGUAACAUCCAAUGCCAUAUAGCUAGCAUAAUACAAUGGUUGUUGAAGAGGAAAGAACAAAAAAUGUAUACCUGAGCAUCACAUGAUAAUCAUCAAAUUUAGAAGGCAAGAGUUCUUCCAAUAUAAGGGCUUGGCGAAGAGAUUCAACAGCUUGAGCCUCCUCAAAAUCAUGAAUAUCUACAAAAUCGACAGACAUGACCUUACUGCUCCUCCUCCUCCUUGAAAAUGAGCUCUUAAACUUGCUCGAAGCAUUCAUCGCCUUCUUCUUGAAAGUCCCCACGGCGUUCUUCUUGUCAUCAUCCAUGUUGUCCAUCUCAACCACUUCAUUUCAUAAACACAUACAUAAGAAAAGACUUGAAUUUGCAAUGCAUUCAUUCAUUCCAACCUUAAUUAGGGCUUGCAUUAUUGCUUAGUUUAAAUGGUCACCAGUUCAAUUCAAUUCAAUUCACCAAGUUCUUCA